GCUGGGGCGCCGACGAGGCUAGGCUCGGCUAGGCUGGGCUCGGCGCGGAGAGCGGCCGGGCCAGGCGCGCACAGGUAACUUUCCCGAGCAGUGCUGGAUUCUUUCACUAAAGGAGCGGGGCAGAGGGACGAGCCGCCAGCUGAUUGGGCGGCGCGGGCCGGCAGGUGCGCUGCCAUUGGAAGAGCCGCGCACAGGUUUGAUGUUGGUGAAUGUCUUGGUGCAGAAGGCAACUCACGGCAGAGGGAUGCAGUGGUGCCAGAAGAUGACAUCUGCUGCGUGAAUCUGACAGCUGACAGUCGAGCUGGAAGAAGGAGAGGAAGAUCAGUGACGAGUGCUUUUGAAAAUGCCACCUUCCCCAAGGUAGAAAUGCUGCUGAUGUGUGAUUUUACAAAAAAGAAAAGCGCAUUUGAUGCCAUCUGCAGUCCUGGACCAAACCCAAACUGUAACUCAAACUGAAAUAGAGUUUUUUGUUCUAGUACUGGGUCAAAUACAAAACUGCCUUUAGCAGCCUGCUCUCAGGAGACAUUCUGUUAGAAUGAGGUAGUCGGGAGACUGAAUUAGUGCUCACUGGCUUAGGUGGUGUUCCAAGGUCAAACUUGGGAAAAUGGAGUAAUGGACUCUUGAUUUGAGGUUGUUGGAGAUGACAACUGUCACUUAUUUGGGACUUGCUUAGAUGAAAAAAUAUACCCUGAAAAUUAUUUUAGCAAGGUAGGUAGGCAUAGGGCUCAUUGUUCUCUGGAUGAGCCUUUUGCUUCAGACUGCAGACUGGAAUCAAAUUGAAAGUGUCGGAGUCCACCUCUAGCUGAGCCCGUCAAACAGGUCCUACCUAUUCCCGCCUGAUGCUCAUUCUUCAUGAUCCACAACAUUAUUAUAAACUAAUCUGUUAGUCAUUGAAAAAUCAGCUAAUGGUAUUUCUGGCCAGACCAGUCUCGCUUCCUGUAGAUUAAAGGCUGCGUAGAGCAAAAAAUUAAAUAGUCAUGCAAUGCAUUAUUGAAAAUCUAGAACUAGGUUUUGGACUGUACAGGAAAAAUUUAAAAUAGUAAACUACUGUUUUUCAUACUGUGCUUGCUUCUUUGAUAGUUUUUUGUGGUGUUGUAAGGAUUCAGUGUAGAAUUCAACGGUCUAAAGCUUUACCUCAUGUUUACACUAUUUACUCCAUAGCAGCUAGCGUCAGUGUUGUUUGGACUUGCCAGCACUGGGUAAAGGAAAUAGAGUGUACAAAUAAGGCUUAACAAGGCUUACUAAUUACACUAAGUACAUAAAUAUCUUUCAGAAAACUGUUAAAAGAAGCCUAUGCGAUAAAAGAUGUUAGAGAGAUAUUUAUGUCAAAACAGUGUUGUAAAGCAGUUCAGUGAGGGAGCAGAUGUUUGAAAACAACUGUUUUCAGAAGACAACGAUUACCACGUAUUUUAAUUUUUGUCUUUCUAUGUCAUUGAUGGCUGUUGAUAUAAAAUCUACUCUCUCACAGUAAGUUCAAAGACAACAACCUACCUACUAAUUUUGUGAUAUGCAGCAUUUACUCUUAAUCCUCCCCGUAGCCUUUCCUUUGUAGUCAUAUUCUGUAUGAAACUAUAUUUAUUGGAAUUUGUGGAGACCUUGAUCCUCAGCUGACUUCAAGGAAGCCAUCGUACAUCAAAAUAAGCUUAACAGACUUCAGUGCAAGCCUCCUAUACCCCAAAUAGAUCAUUCUUAUGCUCUAAGAAUUAAUUACUCUGCGCUGUUAACUUUAAGAAAAAUUCGAAGUAACCAAGAUCCUGGUAACACUUUACUUCUAAUGCUUCACAAUGAAACUAUAAAAGUCCUAUCAGAAUAGACAAAUUUGUGAAGUACCGGUGCAUUUCUGUCAUGCUGCCUGGAGACUCCCCAAACAGGUCUGCUGGCAUCCCUUUAGCAACCUCCAGCUCUCGGGUGCCUCCACAACACGUAUGACAGCAGCAGUUCAGCAGUGUGGAGGACCAUGGAAUAUCAAGCAUUUCCUGGCCACAGGGUAAGGUGUAGAGAGAGUGUGGCACAUUCUGUUUGAAAUGCUGAUUUGCAUUUCUUUUAGAUUCAUCAAAGCAGUAGGGAAACUGGUAGGAAAAAAAAAGGAGGGGCUUUAUUUUUGCUUUGCUCAUUAUGAGAAUAGAAUUAAUGGUUCUGAAAGAUGUCAAAGUUAUAACGUGACUAUCCUGUAUAUCUGCAAUGCUGAGCCUUGGCAGUGUGGUGCACACAAUGUUGUUUCAGCUUAAAACAGGAGAAUUCAUUUUUAGUGAUGAAAAUAGUGCACAGCAUGGAAAUUCUUUCAGGAUUGAGACAUGGAGACAGCUAAGAAGGCAGCAAAGUCUGACAACAGAUUGGAAUAUUAGGUUCAUAGUUGAUUAGCAGAUGUUAAAGUUCCAAUCCAUUUCAUAAAGAUUACUCACAGUUUUGGAACCAAUUCAAUAGAACUUAAUAUAGAACGAUAGCUUUUCUGCAGAUGCUUUGACCUACCUGAUAGUGUUUUUUCGUGAUACACUGAAGCAUUUUUGAAACAUUGGGAAAACACAGUUAGGUCACCUAAUGACGGUAAUUUUGCUUUUAGUGUAAAACCGUAGGGUGAAAAAGAAUAAGAAGGCAUCUCUGAAAGACAGUUUAAUGUGAUGUGAGACUCUGGAAAUAUGUUAAUUAAGAUGACAUUAAAAUUGUGUGACGUCAUUAUGGGGCAUAGCUAGACAACGUAAAUAACCUGACCUGUAAGAAAAAUGUCAAGUGCAUCUUCCUGAAGCUUUGUCCAUCUUCCUGUGUUAAUCAAGGGGAUCUUUGCAUCGUCAUAGAACAAAACUGCAAGUUCAUAGACAUAUGUUGAGUAAUCCUAAUUUGAACUGUUUUGGGAUGAACAUAAAAUGUUGUUAGUUUGUUUAGGUUGUGAAGAGUUAGGAAUGUAAGAAGAAAAUUGUCCUAAUACCUACUUUUUUUUUCCUUUAAUUACGAGAACAUUUUUUUUAAUUGCCAGUGGUAGUUUAAAACUAACUUUUUCUCAGAAUUAGUUUUUUUUCUUUUCUCUCCUUCCCUCUUCCUUCUCCUUCCCUCUUCCUUCUCCUUGGUAACACAGAAUUCUCUCAGUUGUACAAAAUGAGCCCACGGUUGUUGGUGGUACUGCAGUGGGUGCCAGGGUGAGGUGGGCUGGCCUGCUCUAAGGUUUGCGGAGGGCGGGACUGACAGGCUCUCACUGGUGAGUGGCAAUGGCCAAGUCUGUGUUUGCUAUUGAGGCUGCUGCUCCCUGCUCUCGUCAGUCAGUUCUUGAACCAUUAUGUCUUACAGAGCAUCAUUUUAAAGGAAUCUGAAAUAAGGAUGUGAUCAACAUUUGGAAAUCCUAAGAGCUUCAAAUGUUUUUGCAUUGGUUUAUAAGCAUGUUAAGAAUUUUAAAAAAUAUAGAAGUUCCACAUGUCUAAAAUAUUGCAUUGCAAUAAUAGGCAUUCUAAAACCAACGACAAAUACGUCUCUUUUUGCUCUAACAGUCUGUCCUAAUAUAGGUGUAAGUGUUCCAGCAUGCAGAAGGUGAAGGAUGGCAUAUAAACAAUUGCUCGUUUACUUUUCCCACACUCAGGAACGAGAGUAAAUGCAGCCCAAAGAAUCCAUGGAAAUACUCUCCAAUCGGAGCAGCAGGAGUUGGGAAACAAAGCUGUGGAGGCAUCAUCCUGUUUGCUUAAAAUCAAUGCAGUUUUCCCUCAAAAUAGGUCAAUAUUAUAACCGAAUAGGAAGGUACUUAAGAAAUCACAGCAAAUGGAAAAAGCUGCAUUCAGAAUCUGCUGAAUAAGAGGUGGGGUUGAUAGCCCCUGGGCUGUUGCUCAUUUAUCCUUGUGGCUGCCUGCAGGAGCAGGCAAAUGUUAUUUUAUUUGAAGGGCAGAGGAUAAAGAGGAUUGUCUGGUGGCACAAAAGGAACCAGUGUUGGAGCCAGGAGAUCUCUGCAGUGCCUUGUUCUACAGAAAGGUCACUAGACCAUGUGUCCCUGUGUCUCUGUUUAAGCUUUGUCAGCCCUGCUUUUAGUACCUUUGCAGACAGGUGUAGCAGUGUCACAGUCAUUUUCUGCUAUUUGUUGCUAUUCUCUCUCGAAAUAGAGGAGGAGUAGUUCAGAAGAAAGCCUCCAACUGGUUUCGUUCAUAAACAUAAAGGCAGUAUGUAAUGUUACUCCAUCAGGCUUUUUGGGUAAUGUAGGAUCAGAGCUUGUUGACAUGAUCUUUGGCCUUUCUUAUUGCCUGAGUUUGGUUCUUCAGUGCUCAGGACCUUCCAGAUCAUUUAGUCCAUGGCUUGGGGAAGACCCCAGUUCUAGAUCCCCUGGAGCUGCUUCGUCAGCCUGUCCUAUCGGGUUCACCAUCUCAGUGAUACUGUGUUUAUACAAUGCACAUGCCCUGCAUGCACCUACAAGCCUGCUUUAUCUCUACUCAGACUGCUGUGAAAGUAGAUUUUGCUAUUCCUCUGCUGCUGGACGGACUUCCCUGACACCCAGGGAGAUGUGAUAACUACUCUGUCUCGUUCCACCUGUGUUGUGGGAUAGCCAGACCCAGGAAUCGGGCUCUCAGUGCGUCACUUUGACGUGCUGGUUCCAGGUUCCUUUACACUUCAUUUUUUCUCUUGCAGUAUCUGUUAUCUGUGUGCAUUAUUACACUGCCUAAUCCAGUAUUGAUUUUUUUCUUUUUUUUUUUUUUAACGCAGGUUGGAGUUACUAGGUAAUUCCAACUCAGUCAGCUGUGUUCAAUGGCUGUGGCCUAUCCUGCUUUAUAACCUUGCCUCUUUUUCUCUAAGUCCCUUGUUUAAAGAAGAAUCAGACAGAAUAUCUGUGUUUUCUCAAUUAAUUCACAAUGCAGAAACUUCUUAUCGUGUCAUGCCCUAGACACUCUGCGUAAAUAGGAGUUGUACUGCCGAUUUCACUUCGUUUCAGUACAGAAAGCAAAUUUCCCAGAAUAAACAGAUUUACAACAUAUGUGCCUUUCCCUUACAUUUUUGUUCCUUUUCCUUUUUCCCAAAUAAGUGGAAGUCUUAGCUGCAGGAAGA